rnacentral:rRNA from 1 species
GAGUMMMGAKCAUGGCUCAGGAUGAACGCUGGCGGCGUGCCUAACACAUGCAAGUCGUGCGCGAAAGGGUAGCAAUACCUGAGUAAAGCGGCGAACGGGUGAGUAACACGUGGUUAACCUGCCGAAAUGUGGGGGAUACCCCSRRGRAAMYYSGGRACAAUACCGCAUAUGGUCUUCUGGGCGUCGGCCCGGAAGGGCAAAGUCGGGGAUCGCAAGACCUGGCGCAUUUCGUGGGGACCGCGGCCGAUUAGCUAGUUGGCGGAGUAACAGCCCACCAAGGCGACGAUCGGUAGCCGGCCUGAGAGGGUGAUCGGCCACACCGGAACUGAGACACGGUCCGGACUYCUACGGGAGGCAGCAGUGGGGAAUUUUGCGCAAUGGGGGAAACCCUGACGCAGCAACGCCGCGUGGAGGAUGAAGUCCCUUGGGACGUAAACUCCUUUCGAUCGGGACGAUUAUGACGGUACCGAGAGAAGAAGCCCCGGCUAACUUCGUGCCAGCCGCCGCGGUAAUACA